rnacentral:rRNA from 1 species
UACGUAGGUGGCAAGCGUUGUCCGGAUUUAUUGGGUUUAAAGGGUGCGUAGGCGGUCUUCUAAGUCAGUUGUGAAAUACUUCAGCUUAACUGGAGAGGUGCAAUUGAUACUGGAAGACUUGAGUACUGAUGAGGUAGGCGGAAUGGACGGUGUAGCGGUGAAAUGCUUAGAUAUCGUCCAGAACACCAAUUGCGAAGGCAGCUGGCUACACGAAUAUUGACACUGAUGCACGAAAGCGUGGGGAUCAAACAGG